AGCGAGUUUUGAUUAAGAUAGCAAUAUCAUUUAACACGAACAAAGAUUGAAAUUAUGGUUCAACAUUUGAAACGCAAACGAAAUUUUUCACUCUUUUUUUCUUUAACGCCACGUUCAACAUUCGAAACGCAAACUUGUCACCUUUAAAGAUUUUCUUACAGAACACAUCUUCUGAAGUUAUCACUGUCAGCUUCCCAAUGAUGGACCCUCCUGUUCCACCUUCGUCACAUACUCUACAACUCUGCACCAAUCUCCUGCAAAGUCCUCUCAAGGCCAACAACGGUCGUUUCACAGCUCAGCUGGUCCAUUGCCGCGUCAUCAAAUCAGGUCUCUUCUUCAGCGUCUACCUCAUCAACAAUCUAAUGAACGUCUACUCAAAAACCGGCAACGCUAUCCACGCACGCAAACUGUUCGACGAAAUGCCUCUGAGAACCGCUUUCUCGUGGAACACGGUUAUCUCCGCCUACGCCAAACGAGGAGACAUGAGCUCCGCACGAGAGUUCUUCGAUCAAAUGCCAAAGAAGGAUUCUGUCUCGUGGACCACGAUGAUCGUAGGGUUCAAGAAGAUAGGCCUGUACCGAAAGGCUGUAAGAACUAUGGGGGAGAUGAUGAUGAAUGAAGAAGGUGGGGUUGAGCCGACGCAGUACACGCUCACGAACGUUCUUGCCUCGGUUUCUGCAACCGGGUGUGUGGAGACAGGUAGAAAGGUUCACACUUUCGUCCUCAAGCUUGGACUUUCGAGUAACGUCUCGGUUUCGAACUCGCUGCUUAGCAUGUACGCGAAAUGCGGUGAUCCCGUGACGGCGAGAGUUGUUUUCGAUCGAAUGGCGGUUAGAGAUAUCUCAAGCUUGAACGCUAUGAUUGCGUUGCACAUGCAGGUUUGUGAGAUUGAUCUCGCUGCAGCGCAGUUUGAUCAAAUGGCUGAGAGAGAUAUCGUCACUUGGAACACUAUGGUCGCUGGUUACAAUCAGCGCGGGUACGACCUCAGAGCUUUAGAUACGUUUUCAAAGAUGCUUAGAGAGUCCUCCUCUCUGUUGUCGCCGGAUAGGUUCACUCUCUCUAGUGUGUUAUCCGCUUGUGCAAAUCUUGAGAAGCUUAGUGUUGGGAAGCAGAUUCAUUCUCAUAUCGUUGCAACAGGGUUUGAUGUCUCUGGGAUCGUGUUGAACGCUGUGAUCUCUAUGUACUCGAGGUGUGGUGGGGUCGAGACCGCGAGAAGGCUCGUUGAACAGAGAGGCCACGCUGAUCUCAAGAUCGAAGGCCUUACAGCUUUGCUCGAUGGGUACAUUAAGCUUGGAGAUAUGAACCAAGCUAAGGUUAUAUUCGACUCGUUGAAAAGUCGUGACGUAGUUGCGUGGACCGCUAUGCUCGUUGGAUACGAGCAGCACGGUUUGUACGGCGAAGCGAUAAGCCUUUUCAGAUCAAUGGUUGGAGAAGAAGGAGGGCAGAGACCAAACGGUUACACGCUCGCGGCGAUGCUAAGCGUAGCGUCGAGCUUAGCAUCUUUGAGUCACGGCGAGCAGAUCCACGGGAGUGCUGUGAAGUCAGGGGAAGUGUAUUCAGUUUCCGUCGGCAACGCGUUGAUAACGAUGUAUUCAAAGGCGGGCAGCAUUGCAUCCGCGAGGCGGGCGUUUGAGUUGAUACGCUGUAAAAAGGAUACAGUGUCUUGGACGUCGAUGAUAAUCGCGCUGGGACAGCACGGCCACGCGGAGGAAGCUCUCGAGCUCUUUGAGACUAUGCUGGCUGAAAGACUAAGACCUGAUCACAUAACGUUUGUUGGUGUUUUCUCCGCUUGCACUCACGCUGGUCUGGUCGACGAAGGGCGUCGGUACUUUGACAUGAUGAAGAGCGUGGAUAAGAUUGAGCCUACGCUUAGCCACUACGCUUGUAUGGUGGACCUGUUUGGACGCGCUGGUUUGCUCCAGGAAGCGCAUGAGUUUAUCGAGAAGAUGCCGGUUGAGGCGGAUGUGGUGACGUGGGGGUCACUGCUCUCUGCUUGCAGGGUUCACAAGAACGUCGAUCUCGGGAAAAUCGCAGCAGAGAGGCUGCUUCGAAUCGAGCCAGAGAACAGCGGAGCGUACUCAGCCUUGGCUAACUUAUACUCAGCUUGCGGGAAAUGGGACGAAUCCGCGAAGAUAAGGAAGUCGAUGAAAGAUGGGAGAGUGAAGAAGGAGCAAGGGUUUAGCUGGAUCGAAGUGAAGCAUAAAGUCCACGUCUUUGGAGUUGAAGACGGGGUUCAUCCGCAGAAGAAGGAGAUCUACAUGACCAUGAAGAAGAUAUGGGACGAGAUCAAGAAAAUGGGUUAUGUUCCCGACACUGCUUCAGUGCUACAUGAUCUCGAAGAAGAGGUUAAGGAGCAGAUUCUGAGGCACCAUAGUGAGAAGCUAGCGAUAGCUUUUGGGCUGAUUAGCACUCCGGAUAAAACCACGUUAAGGAUCAUGAAGAAUCUCAGAGUGUGUAAUGAUUGUCAUACGGCUAUAAAGUUUAUCUCCAAGCUUGUGGGAAGGGAGAUAAUAGUGAGAGACGCCACAAGGUUUCACCAUUUUAAAAAUGGGUUGUGUUCUUGCCGGGACUACUGGUGAUGAUUUAACUAAAGAGCCAUUGUACAAUACGUAACAAACGUAGAGAUUUGAGGUUCGGGCAUGUCAACUUGAAGAUGAAUCACAUAAGAGUUCCUGCCCGUUGUGCCCGGAGUAUGCUUAGUAACAACUACGGGCAGGUUCACACACUCUCUCUCUUCUCUCUAUAUCUGAGUUUCCGAAAACUCUUCAUUGAUACACAAAAUCUCAAAACACUCUUUCAUUCAUGAACAGAGCUUAU